rnacentral:piRNA from 1 species
UCACAGAGACUGAACUGACAAUCAGGAAGC